rnacentral:rRNA from 1 species
UGGGGAUAUUGGACAAUGGGCGAAAGCCUGAUCCAGCCAUGCCGCGUGUGUGAAGAAGGUCUUCGGAUUGUAAAGCACUUUAAGUUGGGAGGAAGGGUUGUAGAUUAAUACUCUGCAAUUUUGACGUUACCGACAGAAUAAGCACCGGCUAACUCUGUGCCAGCAGCCGCGGUAAUACAGAGGGUGCAAGCGUUAAUCGGAAUUACUGGGCGUAAAGCGCGCGUAGGUGGUUAGUUAAGUUGGAUGUGAAAUCCCCGGGCUCAACCUGGGAACUGCAUUCAAAACUGACUGACUAGAGUAUGGUAGAGGGUGGUGGAAUUUCCUGUGUAGCGGUGAAAUGCGUAGAUAUAGGAAGGAACACCAGUGGCGAAGGCGACCACCUGGACUGAUACUGACACUGAGGUGCGAAAGCGUGGGGAGCAAACAGGAUUAGAUACCCUGGUAGUCCACGCCGUAAACGAUGUCAACUAGCCGUUGGGAGCCUUGAGCUCUUAGUGGCGCAGCUAACGCAUUAAGUUGACCGCCUGGGGAGUACGGCCGCAAGGUUAAAACUCAAAUGAAUUGACGGGGGCCGCACAAGAUCUUCCUC